UCGGGGAUCGUUCAAGGGUAGGACAGCAGACUCUGGAUCUGCGAAUCGAGGUUCGAAUCCUCGUCCCCGAG
rnacentral:tRNA from 1 species